UAUCACAAAUGUUCUCGAAGAUAGGGAGAUAAAUAAACCCACACGAGAUUAUCAUGGUUGGUAAAUUAAUCCAUGUCCCAUAUGCACUGUGUUUGCACGAAGGUAGUCACUUAUUACGCAAUUUAAAUAAGUACUGACCAAUCUUGUUGAAUCAUAUAAUUCAGCUAGCUCAACAUUUCCUGCUACAAGUACGGUCACGUCUGGUCUCAUUAAUGAAAAUGAAAUACAAGGUAAUCAUAUUUUGCCUACUCAUUCAACAAUGGCUGGCAUGUUUCUGUUAUAUUCUCUAAUUUUAGGGUUUGCCCUGAAUGACACCAGAUGCAAAUGUAAUGAUGUAUGACACCCAAGAAACAGAGCAUAAAACGGAAGAAGAACGCAAGAGAGACCAUAGAAAUGCCCUGAGGAGGGCUUCCUAUCGGCGGAAGAAACAAUAUAAUGUUCAAGUUGAACAUGCACAGACCAUUCAUUUAUCAGGUAAGCUUAUAAUGAUUUAACCAUUAUGGUCAGAACCGUCUUAAUAAUUAAGCAUUAAUUUGUGUGGACAACUUUGGUUCACCAGGCAACCCCACUAGCUCUAACUAUACAUCAUUCUCGCGUGAUGCGCGGACAUUUCCUGAUACAACUACGGUCUCAUGUGGGAUCGUUAAUGACAACGAGCUACAAGAUGUGAUUUUGAAUGACACACAAGAAACAGAGGAAAAAACAGAAGAAGAACGCAAGAGAGACCAUAGAAACGCCCUGCGGCGAGCUGCUUAUUGGAGGAACAAGGAUAAGCAUAUCAAAGAUCAAAACAAACGUCCAUCUGGUACUUCAGACGACCUGAAUAGCCCUAGCGUUACAGAAUUAAUGAAAGAGGGAGCAACAUGUCCCCCUUCAACUUUACACGCGUCUGUCAUUCAAGACACUAUUCUAGCUAGGAGGCAAAGUGACAAUGAGCGGAAACGUAAUUCAACAAACGAGCAAAGGGAGGCGAAAAACGCAAGUAGCAGAGCAUGCCAUCAGAAGAAAAGUGACGAAUUAACGGUGGAGGUUAGAGAAAUAAAGAAUGAAAAAAUACGCGUGACUCGCGUGCAGCGCCGCAAAAGCAUGUCGGUGAUUGAGAAGGGGGAGUCAAGUGCACAGAGGAAGGCCAAUUAUGAAAGAAGGAAAAAAACACCGUGCAAAGAAUGCAUCGCAAUCCCCCUUACAAACCUUGCAAAC